rnacentral:hammerhead_ribozyme from 1 species
GUCCAGCUGAUGAGUCCCAAAUGGGACGAAACGUGUGUCCUGGAU